rnacentral:rRNA from 1 species
ACAGUCGAACGAGUUCUGAUUAUUGAAAGGUGCUUGCAUCUUGAUUUAAUUUUGAACGAGUGGCGGACGGGUGAGUAACACGUGGGUAACCUGCCCUUAAGUGGGGGAUAACAUUUGGAAACAGAUGCUAAUACCGCAUAAAUCCAAGAACCGCAUGGUUCUUGGCUGAAAGAUGGCGUAAGCUAUCGCUUUUGGAUGGACCCGCGGCGUAUUAGCUAGUUGGUGAGGUAACGGCUCACCAAGGCAAUGAUACGUAGCCGAACUGAGAGGUUGAUCGGCCACAUUGGGACUGAGCACAGGCCAAACUAAUACGGGAGGCAGCAGUAGGGAAUCUUCCACAAUGGACGCAAGUCUGAUGGAGCAACGCCGCGUGAGUGAAGAAGGCUUUCGGGUCGUAAAACUCUGUUGUUGGAGAAGAAUGGUCGGCAGAGUAACUGUUGUCGGCGUGACGGUAUCCAACCAGAAAGCCACGGCUAACUACGUGCCAGCAGCCGCGGUAAUACGUAGGUGGCAAGCGUUAUCCGGAUUUAUUGGGCGUAAAGCGAGCGCAGGCGGUUUUUUAAGUCUGAUGUGAAAGCCCUCGGCUUAACCGAGGAAGUGCAUCGGAAACUGGGAAACUUGAGUGCAGAAGAGGACAGUGGAACUCCAUGUGUAGCGGUGAAAUGCGUAGAUAUAUGGAAGAACACCAGUGGCGAAGGCGGCUGUCUGGUCUGUAACUGACGCUGAGGCUCGAAAGCAUGGGUAGCGAACAGGAUUAGAUACCCUGGUAGUCCAUGCCGUAAACGAUGAAUGCUAGGUGUUGGAGGGUUUCCGCCCUUCAGUGCCGCAGCUAACGCAUUAAGCAUUCCGCCUGGGGAGUACGACCGCAAGGUUGAAACUCAAAGGAAUUGACGGGGGCCCGCACAAGCGGUGGAGCAUGUGGUUUAAUUCGAAGCAACGCGAAGAACCUUACCAGGUCUUGACAUCUUUUGAUCACCUGAGAGAUCAGGUUUCCCCUUCGGGGGCAAAAUGACAGGUGGUGCAUGGUUGUCGUCAGCUCGUGUCGUGAGAUGUUGGGUUAAGUCCCGCAACGAGCGCAACCCUUAUGACUAGUUGCCAGCAUUUAGUUGGGCACUCUAGUAAGACUGCCGGUGACAAACCGGAGGAAGGUGGGGAUGACGUCAAAUCAUCAUGCCCCUUAUGACCUGGGCUACACACGUGCUACAAUGGAUGGUACAACGAGUUGCGAGACCGCGAGGUCAAGCUAAUCUCUUAAAGCCAUUCUCAGUUCGGACUGUAGGCUGCAACUCGCCUACACGAAGUCGGAAUCGCUAGUAAUCGCGGAUCAGCACGCCGCGGUGAAUACGUUCCCGGGCCUUGUACACACCGCCCGUCACACCAUGAGAGUUUGUAACACCCGAAGCCGGUGGCGUAACCCUUUUAGGGAGCGAGCGACGA